UAGCAUCCUCGACUUGAGACUUCUUUACUUCUUGUACUAAUCUCCACAGGAUUCAUGCAUUAUUCCCCUUUGAAGAAUUGUCUGCAGCUGCAUUCUGAUGUCCUUCAUAGACGCCUACAAGUCAAAUGGCAUUUCAAGAGAGAAACCCUCAGAGCUUCUCUGUCACCUCCUUAUAUACAACAGUAGCAGAGAUUAGGAGUCCAUUCCACCUCAGUCUGGAGAGCUCGUAAAUGAAAUCUUAUCAAAGUCCCUUAAAGAGCCUUUUGGUUUUUUUCUAUAUUGAUGAUGAAAUUCUUUCUGUUUGAAAAAUCAUUUUCUGUAAAGUAUAUCAUGUAAAAUGUAAGCACAA